rnacentral:rRNA from 1 species
UGGGGAAUUUUGGACAAUGGGCGCAAGCCUGAUCCAGCAAUGCCGCGUGAGUGAAGAAGGCCUUCGGGUUGUAAAGCUCUUUUGUCAGGGAAGAAACGGGGCUGGCUAAUAUCCGGCCUUAAUGACGGUACCUGAAGAAUAAGCACCGGCUAACUACGUGCCAGCAGCCGCGGUAAUACGUAGGGUGCAAGCGUUAAUCGGAAUUACUGGGCGUAAAGCGUGCGCAGGCGGUUUUGUAAGUCUGACGUGAAAUCCCCGGGCUCAACCUGGGAAUUGCGUUGGAGACUGCAAGGCUGGAGUCUGGCAGAGGGGGGUAGAAUUCCACGUGUAGCAGUGAAAUGCGUAGAGAUGUGGAGGAACACCGAUGGCGAAGGCAGCCCCCUGGGUCAAGACUGACGCUCAUGCACGAAAGCGUGGGGAGCAAACAGGAUUAGAUACCCUGGUA